rnacentral:rRNA from 1 species
GACGAACGCUGGCGGCACGCCUAACACAUGCAAGUCGAGCGGAGAUAAGAGCUUGCUCUUAUCUUAGCGGCGGACGGGUGAGUAACACGUGAGGAACCUGCCUCUUUGUGGGGGAUAACGUUUGGAAACGAACGCUAAUACCGCAUAAUGUAUUGAAGUGGCAUCACUUUAAUACCAAAGGAGAAAUCCGCUAAGAGAUGGCCUCGCGUCUGAUUAGCUAGUUGGUGAGGUAAUGGCUCACCAAGGCGACGAUCAGUAGCCGGACUGAGAGGUUGAACGGCCACAUUGGGACUGAGACACGGCCCAGACUCCUACGGGAGGCAGCAGUGGGGAAUAUUGCACAAUGGGCGAAAGCCUGAUGCAGCGAUGCCGCGUGGGGGAAGAA